rnacentral:rRNA from 1 species
UGGGGAAUAUUGCACAAUGGGGGAAAGCCCUGAUGCAGCAACGCCGCGUGAAGGAAGAAGGUUUUCGGAUCGUAAAACCCUGUUGUUAGAGAAGAAAGUGCGUGAGAGUAACUGUUCACGUUUCGACGGUAUCUAACCAGAAAGCCACGGCUAACUACGUGCCAGCAGCCGCGGUAAUACGUAGGUGGCAAGCGUUAUCCGGAUUUAUUGGGCGUAAAGGGAACGCAGGCGGUCUUUUCAAGUCUGAUGUGAAAGCCUUCGGCUUAACCGGAGUAGUGCAUUGGAAACUGGGAGACUUGAGUGCAGAAGAGGAGAGUGGAACUCCAUGUGUAGCGGUGAAAUGCGUAGAUAUAUGGAAGAACACCAGUGGCGAAGGCGGCCGCCUGGCCUGUAACUGACGCUCAGGCACGAAAGCGUGGGUAGCAAACAGGAUUAGAUACCC